UGAACGCUGGCGGCAUGGAUUAGGCAUGCAAGUCGAACGCUCUCUUCGGAGAGAGUGGCGAAAGGGUGAGUAACGCGUGAGUGAUCUGCCCCCAAGUUUGGAAUAACUGUUGGAAACGACAGCUAAUACCGGAUGUGAAUACUUAGUCGCAUGACUUAGUAUUUAAAGGUUUACUGCUUGGGGAUGAGCUCGCGUCCCAUUAUGCUAGUUGGUAAGGUAACGGCUUACCAAGGCUAUGACGGGUAGGUGGUCUGAGAGGAUGGUCACCCACACUGGGACUGAGAUACUGCCCAGACUCCUGCGGGAGGCUGCAGUCGAGAAUCUUCCGCAAUGCGCGAAAGCGUGACGGAGCAAUGCCGCGUGAAGGAUGAAGGCUUUCGGGUCGUAAACUUCUGUCAGGGGGGAAAAACAUUGAUUGUACCCCCAGAGGAAGCCACGGCUAACUACGUGCCAGCAGCCGCGGUAAUACGUAGGUGGCGAGCGUUAUUCGGAUUUACUGGGCGUAAAGGGUCCGUAGGGGGAUUGUUAAGUCAGAUGUGAAAUUUCAGGGCUCAACCCUGAACCUGCAUUUGAAACUGGUAGUCUAGAAUCCGGUAGAGGUAAGUGGAAUUUGUGGUGUAGCGGUGGAAUGCGUAGAUAUCACAAGGAACAUCAAAGGCGAAAGCAGCUUACUGGGCCGAUAUUGACCCUGAGGGACGAAAGCUAAGGUAGCGAAAAGGAUUAGAUACCCUUGUAGUCUUAGCCGUAAACGUUGUACACUCGAUGUCGGGGGAAUUAGCCCCUUCGGUGUCUAAGCUAACGCGAUAAGUGUACCGCCUGGGAAGUACGGUCGCAAGACUAAAACUCAAAGGAAUUGACGGGGGCCCGCACAAGCGGUGGAGCAUGUGGCUUAAUUCGAGGCAACGCGAAGAACCUUACCUGGGUUUGACAUAUAUAUGACCGCUCCCGAAACGGAGUUUCUCUUCGGAGCAUAUAUACAGGUGCUGCAUGGCUGUCGUCAGCUCGUGCCGUGAGGUGUUCGGUUAAGUCCGGCAACGAGCGCAACCCAUAUCUUUAGUUGCCAGCGCGUAAUGGCGGGGACUCUAGAGAGACUGCCCGAGUCAAUCGGGAGGAAGGCGUGGACGACGUCAAGUCAGUAUGGCCCUUACACCCAGGGCUGCACACGUGCUACAAUGGCCACUACAGAAGGCAGCAAUACCGCGAGGUGGAGCUAAUCCGAGAAAAGUGGCCCCAGUUCGGAUUGGAGUCUGCAACUCGACUCCAUGAAGUCGGAAUCGCUAGUAAAGGCGUAUCAGCUACGACGCCUUGAAUACGUUCCCGGGCCUUGUACACACCGCCCGUCACAUCACGGGAGCCUGGUGCACCCGAAGCCUCUGUACCAACCUGCUUGCAGGAGGAAGGAGUCGAAGGUGUGCCCGGUGACUGGGAGAAGUCGUAACAAGGU
rnacentral:rRNA from 1 species